rnacentral:rRNA from 1 species
AUUGAACGCUGGCGGCAGGCCUAACACAUGCAAGUCGAACGAGUGGCGGACGGGUGUGUAAUGUCUGGGAAACUGCCUGAUGGAGGGGGAUAACUACUGGAAACGGUAGCUAAUACCGCAUACCAUCGGAUGUGCCCAGUUGGGAUUAGCUAGUAGGUGGGGUAAAGGCUCACCUAGGCGACGAUCCCGAGCUGGUCUGAGAGGAUGAACAGCCACACUGGAAUGGAGACACGGUCCACACUCCUACGGGAGGCAGCAGUGGGGAAUAUUGCACAAGGGGCGCAAGCCUUAUGCAGCCAGGCCGCGUGUAUGAAGAAGGCCUUCGGGUUGUAAAGUACUUUCAGCGGGGAGGCGUUACCCGCAGAAGAAGCACCGGCUAACUCCGUGCCAGCAGCCGCGGUAAUUC